CGGCCAGGCCCAUCCCUAAGUGGGUGGCGGGACCUGUGGGGGCACAGGGCGGAGGGCCGGCCUCCCCCGGGCCCCAGCCUGAGCUGGCGGCGCUCUGUCCCUCGCUCUCGGAACAGCCGUCUCCGGCUCAAGGCUUUCUCUCCACCGGGGUGGGCCGGCGCCCGCGUCGCGGUGCCAUCACCUCCAUUCCGGGCGCUUACCGGGCGUCCGCAGCGCUCCAGGAUUACUUCUUGUGGGCCCAGCAGGUGGUGUGGUUGGUAAGAAGCUGCUGGACUUUAAGUGGUGCACCACUGUUCGAACCUCAGACCUGGUGGCUUGCUUUCUUGCUUUCCCUGUCUCCCUCUGACCAAGACUGACCUCCCCACACCUCGCCUUGCAAACAGUGCCACACCUGCCCUGCCCACUGGCACCACACCUUCCUGGGAAGCCAGCAAGCUGGGUGCUUGCUGGAGAAGGCCACUGGCCUGUGCCAGCAAUGCCCUGCAGCAGAGUCCCAGGCUCACAGACCUUCCUGCCUGCAGCAGUGGGGAGCACCUGGUGUUUUGAGAGGACUCAGGUACCCUGUGGUCCUGGGGAACCAGCUGAGUUAAACUCAUUUGACACAGCCGGCUGCUCAUGGGUGAUCACUCUGGAAACGUACCCGGAAGUGGGCUGCCUUGGGCAGAGCCUGCUGGAAUGUCACCUGAUGCUGAACCCUUCUACCCAAGUGGCUGCAAAAUCUGCCUCUCUCUUACCCCUCCUCCCUGUCUGUGGCUCAGUGACUACUAACCAACUCUCUGGAAGGAGAGAGCUGGAUUUUCUGAACUUCCCAGGUCUGAGUCUGGACAGGCUGACCACAAACUAAGAACCAGGUCUCGAUGCCAAGGAUUCAGGCCACCCAGCUCAGCCCCCCUUCCAAAAAGAAAAAAGAAGCAGUGUAAACCUUUAUCCUCCUCAACCCCCAAGCUCCAGGAAGAGUCUCACCCCAAUCUAGGAACCUUCCAGAAGUGAGUGGACCUUCUGCCUCUCCCCAGCGGCUACACUAGCCCCACACAUCGCCCCAUUGCUGUCUUCCUCUAGCCACCACGCAAACCCCUAUCCAGUGUGGGUCGUCCUCUGACUUCACCCUGGCCCCCUUUUCUCACUGGCUUCUGUGCCUUUAAGAGAAGGUUUAGCCAGUACUCAGCCUGGGCUGUGGCCUCAGCUCCUUUCCCUUUCCCACAGGAAAUUGUCACUUCAGCCUGACAGGCCUGCUCUGAGUCUGGCUCCCCCGCUUGCCUUCCUGUGGCUUCAUCAUCUUGUCCCCCACUCUGAUCCAGGGCGCCCUCCCCUCUGCCUCUUUAAAGCCCUGGACUUCUCCCAGAAGCCUUUGCUGGUGAUCGCACACCCUGGGUCCCCUUUCUCCCUGGGCUCUCCUGGACCCUCCCCUCAGCUUGCAUUUGCAAAUCUAUCCACUUUGCAUCGAUACUUAUAUCUUUGCAUAGAUAUCGUGUCUCCCCAACCCCUGAUAGUCUGCCUGUCCUUGGAGAGCUGAGAGAGGCUGUCAGUGUUAUCUAAGGGACAGGGGGUGCCCAGGGUCUAGGCUGGCCUGGCUCCCUCUGCUUCCCCGAAGAAACUCAGGGAAUCUGGCUAGUUCGGCGAUAAAUAACGUAAUACUGAGUCAUCGUGACAUAUCUAAAUACAUCACGAUUUUUCUUAACUCUGCAUUUGCUGUACAAUUUUGAAGUGUCUUUUAUAGAUAUUUGAUGCUUCAACCUUGUAAAGGCAGACAUGAUUCCAUAGAGCAAGCAUUAUCUCCAUUUCUUUUGUAGGUUUUUUGCCUACAGUGCACAUGUACGCCGGAGAGAGGGGAGAAAUCACCCCACAGGGGGAUGGCCAUGCCUCAGUCCCUUCUCCUCCAUUCUCC